GGGAGGUGUUAGCAGAAGACGCUCCCGGGCGCCGGGAGGAGUUUGCGCCGGCGGCGGCGGCCCCGCGGCCGCGGAGCUCUCGGAGAAAAUGAGUUUCGGGGUGAGCUGCUGAAUCAGAGGUGGACCUGCGGAGAGAAGAUCAGCAGCUGCGAGGGAGCCGCCAGCCUGCACGGCACACACAUCAAGAUGAGUUUAGAAAAUGACGAUAAGAGAGCACGCACGCGAUCCAAGUCUG
rnacentral:lncRNA from 1 species